CUAGCCGUAAACGAUGGUCACUAGGUGUGGGGGAAUAUUUCCUCCGUGCCGCAGCCAACGCAUUAAGUGACCCGCCUGGGGAGUACGGCCGCAAGGCUAAAACUCAAAGGAAUUGACGGGGGCCCGCACAAGCAGCGGAGCAUGUGGCUUAAUUCGAAGCAACGCGAAGAACCUUACCAGGGCUUGACAUGCAAGUGAAGCGGCGGAAACGUCGUGGCCGAGAGGAGCUUGCGCAGGUGG
rnacentral:rRNA from 1 species